CUUCCAGGAAAAGCCUCUAAGCAUCAGGUAACAUCAAAUCGUACCCCAAACCGACACAGGUGGUCAGGUAGAGAAUACCAAGGCGCUUGAGAGAACUCGGGUGAAGGAACUAGGCAAAAUGGUGCCGUAACUUCGGGAGAAGGCACGCUGAUAUGUAGGUGAAGUCCCUCGCGGAUGGAGCUGAAAUCAGUCGAAGAUACCAGCUGGCUGCAACUGUUUAUUAAAAACACAGCACUGUGCAAACACGAAAGUGGACGUAUACGGUGUGACGCCUGCCCGGUGCCGGAAGGUUAAUUGAUGGGGUCAGCGCAAGCGAAGCUCUUGAUCGAAGCCCCGGUAAACGGCGGCCGUAACUAUAACGGUCCUAAGGUAGCGAAAUUCCUUGUCGGGUAAGUUCCGACCUGCACGAAUGGCGUAAUGAUGGCCAGGCUGUCUCCACCCGAGACUCAGUGAAAUUGAACUCGCUGUGAAGAUGCAGUGUACCCGCGGCAAGACGGAAAGACCCCGUGAACCUUUACUAUAGCUUGACACUGAACAUUGAGCCUUGAUGUGUAGGAUAGGUGGGAGGCUUUGAAGUGUGGACGCCAGUCUGCAUGGAGCCGACCUUGAAAUACCACCCUUUAAUGUUUGAUGUUCUAACGUUGACCCGUAAUCCGGGUUGCGGACAGUGUCUGGUGGGUAGUUUGACUGGGGCGGUCUCCUCCUAAAGAGUAACGGAGGAGCACGAAGGUUGGCUAAUCCUGGUCGGACAUCAGGAGGUUAGUGCAAUGGCAUAAGCCAGCUUGACUGCGAGCGUGACGGCGCGAGCAGGUGCGAAAGCAGGUCAUAGUGAUCCGGUGGUUCUGAAUGGAAGGGCCAUCGCUCAACGGAUAAAAGGUACUCCGGGGAUAACAGGCUGAUACCGCCCAAGAGUUCAUAUCGACGGCGGUGUUUGGCACCUCGAUGUCGGCUCAUCACAUCCUGGGGCUGAAGUAGGUCCCAAGGGUAUGGCUGUUCGCCAUUUAAAGUGGUACGCGAGCUGGGUUUAGAACGUCGUGAGACAGUUCGGUCCCUAUCUGCCGUGGGCGCUGGAGAACUGAGGGGGGCUGCUCCUAGUACGAGAGGACCGGAGUGGACGCAUCACUGGUGUUCGGGUUGUCAUGCCAAUGGCACUGCCCGGUAGCUAAAUGCGGAAGAGAUAAGUGCUGAAAGCAUCUAAGCACGAAACUUGCCCCGAGAUGAGUUCUCCCUGACCCCUUAAGAGUCCUGAAGGAACGUUGAAGACGACGACGUUGAUAGGCCGGGUGUGUAAGCGCAGCGAUGCGUUGAGCUAACCGGUACUAAUGAACCGUGAGGCUUAACCUU
rnacentral:rRNA from 1 species